CUGACAAGGAGAAGACUGAGCUCCAAGCAAGUCAUAUUCCUAGAGACAGGAACCUGGGCAAGGUCAUUGUGUGAAAUGAUGAAAUGCAUCUUCAUAAGAAAGUGCAAGAACUUGAAUUUGAGAAGAAAAAUAUAAAAGGAAAAAUAUUCUAGAGUCAGAUAUGGAAAUCACUGUGUCAGAUUAUGAAGCUGGAAUUUAUUCUUUGAAAAAUAGAAGAAAACAAGAUAAACAAAAUGAUGAAGAAUGCAUUGCUGCUGCUUUAACAAUACUCAGAGAUGUUAUCACCAAAAGCCAUCAGCAACUGCCACAUGAGGCAGUCCCUACAAGGAGAGCAUUGCCUUCUGGUAUAUUGUGACAAGCUCAUCUGCAUGCAUGCACGAGUUCAUAUAGGACUGACAUUUUUGAAAGAACACCACAGCUUGAGAAAUAGAAAGAAGCUUUAGAUCAUCCAAUCCAGGCUCCUCCGCUCCUUCACUCUGCACUUCUUCCUGCUACC